rnacentral:miRNA from 14 species
UCGCAGCAAUCUCCUUCGCAAU